rnacentral:rRNA from 1 species
UACGGGGGGGGGCAAGCGUUGUUCGGAAUUACUGGGCGUAAAGGGCUCGUAGGCGGCCAACUAAGUCGGAUGUGAAAUCCCCAGGCUUAACCUGGGAACUGCAUCCGAUACUGGAUGGCUUGAAUCCGGGAGAGGGAUGCAGAAUUCCAGGUGUAGCGGUGAAAAUGCGUAGAUAUCUGGAGGAAUACCGGUGGCGAAGGCGGCAUCCUGGACCGGCAUUGACGCUGAUGAGCGAAAAGCUAGGGGAGCAAACGGG